UACGGGGGGGGCAAGCGUUGUUCGGAAUUACUGGGCGUAAAGGGCUCGUAGGCGGCCAACUAAGUCGGACGUGAAAUCCCCAGGCUCAACCUGGGAACUGCGUCCGAUACUGGAUGGCUUGAAUUCGGGAGAGGGAUGCAGAAUUCCAGGUGUAGCGGUGAAAUGCGUAGAUAUCUGGAGGAACACCGGUGGCGAAGGCGGCAUCCUGGACCAUUACUGACACUGAAUAGCGAAAGCCAGGGGAGCAAACGGG
rnacentral:rRNA from 1 species